CCGAACGUGACAGAAAUUGUAGCAGAUUUAAGCUCUGCCUAUGGGUUAGUACAGCCCCGCUCGGU
rnacentral:tRNA from 1 species